AGUGAACGCUGGCGGUAGGCCUAACACAUGCAAGUCGAACGGCAGCACAGUAAGAGCUUGCUCUUACGGGUGGCGAGUGGCGGACGGGUGAGGAAUACAUCGGAAUCUACUUUUUCGUGGGGGAUAACGUAGGGAAACUUACGCUAAUACCGCAUACGACCUACGGGUGAAAGCAGGGGAUCUUCGGACCUUGCGCGAUUGAAUGAGCCGAUGUCGGAUUAGCUAGUUGGCGGGGUAAAGGCCCACCAAGGCGACGAUCCGUAGCUGGUCUGAGAGGAUGAUCAGCCACACCGGAACUGAGACACGGUCCAGACUCCUACGGGAGGCAGCAGUGGGGAAUAUUGGACAAGGGGCGCAAGCCUGAUCCAGCCAUACCGCGUGGGUGAAGAAGGCCUUCGGGUUGUAAAGCCCUUUUGUUGGGAAAGAAAAGCAGCAGGUUAAUACCCCGCUGUUCUGACGGUACCCAAAGAAUAAGCACCGGCUAACUUCGUG
rnacentral:rRNA from 1 species